AAGCUCGUAGUUGAAUUUCGGGGGUUAGCAGGUUGGUCAUGCCUCUGGUAUGUACUGGUCUCACUGAUUCCUCCUUCCUUAUGAACCGUAAUGCCAUUAAUUUGGUGUUGCGGGGAAUUUGGACUGUUACUUUGAAAAAAUUAGAGUGUUUAAAGCAAGCUAACGCUUGAAUACAUUAGCAUGGAAUAAUGAAAUAGGACGUUCGAUCUUAUUUUGUUUGGUUUCUAGGAUUGACGUAAUGAUUAAUAGGGAUAGUUGGG
rnacentral:rRNA from 1 species